rnacentral:lncRNA from 1 species
CUUCCUCCUCCAGUGGUGGGAUAUGAGCCACCGGCAAGGAGGGACGCCAAUAAGGUGUCCGAUAAGAUAAGUCUUAUAAAAUAUAUAGAUUUAUGAUAAUUAAGACUGAGCUAGCAGAUGAGAAUCCUAGUCAUUGGACAAGCAGCUUUGAACCUAAAAAAAAAAAAAAAAAGAAAGCCUCAUGAACAAAUGCUCUACUGUGUCUUCCUGGAUACAUUUGAUAGUUACAGAAUUUUGUUUGACUUAAUGGCUGCUUACCUGCAAAAAAGCACCCCUGAAGACUUGCCGCAUCUAGAAGACACAGGACUGAGUGAGUGGCACCAUUGUUGGCAUAAGUGGUUCUUGGGAAGCUGUGCAGAUCUGUUGAAGCCUUUCACAAAGCAGCAAAAAUUCAGUGACAACUGCUGUAAAGGAUUAUGAGAGAGGGGUGUGGGAGUUCCACUUCUGCUGAUUUCCUGUAUAGUUUAAUAAUUUUUUGUUAUUUUUAGGUUCAAUCUACUGUUGUUCAUAAGAAAGAUAUCUUUACUACCAUUUAUCUAAACACUGAGUCAAAAUUGGAUUUUGGAAAAAUGAAUUAUAUUGUUUCAUUUAGUUUAAGUGACCAGGUAGGAUAAAAACAACAAAAAAUAGUCUAUCUAAGGAAAGAAAACAAUCAAAAAACUAUCUAAACAGAAAAUUAUCUUUAGAAGCUAUAAUUCUGACAAAGGAUUAAUAUCCAGAAUAUACAAAACAACAACAAAGUAAAACCCUCAAAAAAGAGUCAAGGCAGGAUUACCACUAAAAAAUGGGCCAUGCAACUAAAUAGAGAGUUCACAAUAGAAGAAACAAAAAAUAGCUAAGAAUUAGCUAAAAAGGUGAUCAUUGUCCUCAAUAAUUUGGGAAGUACAUAUUAAAACAGCUAUGAGAUUUCAACCUAACUGAGUUAUAACAUCUAAGUUGAACACAACAACUGAUAACAAAAGCUGGCAAGGUUCUGAAAAGAGGAACACUUACUCUCUGAUGGUUGGAAUGAAAACCAAUGAAGCUACUAUGGAAAUUAGGGAUACAGAUCCUCAAAAAAAGGUAAAUCUACCAUAUGAUACAGCUACACCACUCAUUGGUAUAUGCCCAUAGGGUUAAACAUCCUACUCUACAGACACUUUAUGGACAAUCUUUAUUGCUGCCCUAGUCACUAUAGCUAGGAAGUGGAUAAAAUGUGUCCUUCAACAGCUGAAUGGUUAAGGAAAACGUGGUAGAUACAAACAAUAAAAUGCUACUCAGCUGUAAAGAAAAAUGAAUA